CUCUCUCUCUCUCUCUCUCUCAAACACAUGUCUACCUCACCCAAAAUCCAAAGGACGGCCUCUCUCCUUCCCACCCUCGCCUUUUGGUUUCCACCUCUCUCUCCCCUUCUCCGUCUCCCUCUCGCCCGCAGCAGAUAACCGCUUCCCUAAUUUGUAGUCCAAAAGUGAAAGAAAGCCUUUGACCGAACUUUUAUCAUUCCUUUUUUUAAUUCCAGGUAUUCUCCCUCUGUCAAGUUUUUUUUUCUUUCUUUUAGUUAUUUUUUAUUCUAGGAAUUGUACCUUAGUAAUUUUUUUAGGCCUUCGGGAAUAGGGACUAUGAGAAUUGUAUAUUGCACUCAAGGUGUUUGUAAGAAUGUUUAAUCCAAGUUGCUCUCCUUUCUUUGCAUUGCAUUUAAAUUAUUUUGUCUUUGACAUAAUCUAUUGGGUUUGAUAAAUUGGGAGGCAUUGUAACGUGGGUUGGUCUUGCUAGGAAUUGAGAGGCUUCGUAGGGCGGGUUGGUUUUGUUGGGUUUAUAAACUCUAGGAUGGUUUUAUGUAUUCUAUCCCAUCAGCACCCAACAACCACCCUAAUCCGAGACUUGGACACCCGUUAUUUGUUGACAUCUAAAGUCUAGCUCAAAGGGAAAGAAAAGGCAACCUAUCCCAUGAGAAACGAGAAUGCACUGGUAUAACCCUUACAUUUUUUAAAAAACAAUGUUUAUAGUCUUUGAACCAUGUUUUUUUUUUUUUUUUACAUUUCUCAAUUGACUUUGGACGUGCAGAUUCAACCACUCCGAGACAUUCAACCACUCUGAGACAGAAAUAUCUGAAUUAUAAUCCGUGAUGAGCGGGACCACAAUGUCAUCCGUAUAUGCAUUUAGUACCCUUAAUACAUUUUAUGUAUUUCUUAACCGAAAAUGCCAAGAAAAGAAACAAUGGCUAGGAAAGGGAAGACAACACAUGUAGGCAAUGGAAGGAAAAAUUCAUGGGUAUCUUUUCGCUUUCUUUUGGUAGCUUUGUACAGUUGAGAAAAGACUAACGGGACUUGAAUACCAAAAUGUGGAGCAUCUUUAAACUACACCUUCAUCUUCUUUGUGUUUGUAAUUUUCAUACAAAGCGGGGCCUUUAAAUUCACAGCCCUAGAAGAAACUCUGUUUGAACCUAAUUUAAGAAAAAAUCUUCCUGUAUAAAUCAGUUUUGUUAGCUUGGGUGGUCAAUAGUUUUGGAAUUCAUUUUAGUUGUGUUCAAAACACAUUGCGCCGUGCCUUCAGGCACAGGCAAACCCUAGUAUAAAUAAAUUCAUGUGUGUAUAUAUGUACAUAUAUACAAAUUCUACGUAGCAUCGGCACUUUGCUGGAAGCAACGUACCGGUGUCCGACACGUAUCCGACUCUUAGGGCUUGUUCGGUUUGGAUUUUGAGGGAGGUUUUAAAGUGUAAUGAGCAAACCCUAAGAGAGAGAGAGAAAAUUUAUUGAAGACUAUGCGCAGGGGUUUUGAGUACCCCAAACGAACAAGCCCUUAAUCUCGUAAUGUCUUGAUUUUUUUCCAAUGUUUAGGGGUUGGA